AUUUUUUUGAGAUAGAGUCUCUUCUCUGUCUCCCAGGCUGGAGUGCAGUGGUGAGAUCUUACCUCACUGCCACCUCCACUUCCGGGAUUUAAGUGAUUCUCCUGCCUCAGCCUCCUGAGUAGCUGGGAUUACAGGCGUGUGCCACCAUGCCCAGCUAAUUUUCUGUAUUUUUAGUAGAGUUGGGAUUUCACCAUGUUGGCCAGGCUGGUCACGAACUCCUGACCUCAAGUGAUCUGCCCACCUCAGCCUCCCUUAGUGCUGGAAUUACAGGCGUAAGCCACCACGCCCAGCCCCCUUGUAUCUCUUAUAUUGUGAGUGGGGAACAUGAUAGGUAGAUGCAGCCAUUAAAAUUUAUGUUUCCAACUGAUAUUAAGGAGUUGGGGAAAUAAUAUAAUAAUCUGACAUACCAUUAAGUGAAAAAUGCAAUAUAGCCUUAUUUUUUAAGCAUUUACAGCCUAUGUAUUUACAUACCAAAAAAGAGAUACAUUUACCAAAUAAAUACAUAAAUGUUAUUUUUUAUAAUCCUAAGACAAAAAUAAAUAAUAUGCUGAAUAAAAUACAUUAUUUUAUACAAAAAUUUGCUUGGUGUGGUGGCGCACGUCCAUAAUCCCAGCUAUUUGGGUGGCGGAGGCACAAGAAUCACUUGAACCUGGGAGGCAGAGGUUGCAGUGAGCCAAGAUCAUGCCACUGCACAUCAGCCUGGGUGACAGAGUGAGACUAUCUCAUUAAAAAAAAAAUAUAUUUUAAAUUAUUUUAUUUGGUCAGGCACGGUGGCUCACGCCUGUAAUCCCAGCACUUUGAGAGGCCAAGGCAGGAAAAUCACUUGAACCCAGGAGGCAGAGGUUGCAGUGAGCCAAGAUCACGCCACUGCACUCCAGCCUGGGCGACAAGGUGAGACUGUCUCACAAAAAAAAGAAAAA
rnacentral:lncRNA from 1 species